GGAGAGGUGGCCGAGCGGUUGAAGGCAACGGUUUGCUAAACCGUCGUAGGGUAUAAAGCUCUACCGAGGGUUCGAAUCCCUCCCUCUCCG
rnacentral:tRNA from 1 species